UACGUAAGGGGCAAGCGUUGUCCGGAAUCACUGGGCGUAAAGCGCACGUAGGCGGUGCAGCAAGUCAGGGGUGCAAGCUCCAGGCCUAACCUGGAAACUGCCUCUGAAACUACUGUGCUUGAGGGUCAGAGGGGAAACUGGAAUUCACGGUGUAGCGGUGAAAUGCGUAGAUAUCGUGGAGAACACCCGUGGCGAAGGCGGGUUUCUGGCUGACAACUGACGCUGAGGUGCGAAAGCUAGGGGAGCGAACGGG
rnacentral:rRNA from 1 species